rnacentral:rRNA from 1 species
UACGGAGGGUGCAAGCGUUAUCCGGAUUCACUGGGUUUAAAGGGUGCGUAGGUGGGCUAGUAAGUCCGUGGUGAAAUCUCCAAGCUUAACUUGGAAACUGCCGUGGAUACUAUUAGUCUUGAAUGUUGUGGAGGUAAGCGGAAUAUGUCAUGUAGCGGUGAAAUGCUUAGAUAUGACAUAGAACACCGAUAGCGGAGGCAGCUUGCUACACAAUGAUUGACACUGAGGCACGAAAGCGUGGGGAGCAAACAGG